GUGGGGAAUAUUGGACAAUGGGCGAAAGCCUGAUCCAGCCAUGCCGCGUGUGUGAAGAAGGUCUUCGGAUUGUAAAGCACUUUAAGUUGGGAGGAAGGGCAGUAAGUUAAUACCUUGCUGUUUUGACGUUACCGACAGAAUAAGCACCGGCUAACUUCGUGCCAGCAGCCGCGGUAAUACGAAGGGUGCAAGCGUUAAUCGGAAUUACUGGGCGUAAAGCGCGCGUAGGUGGUGUUGUAAGUUGGAGGUGAAAUCCCCGGGCUCAACCUGGGAACUGCCUCCAAAACUGCAUGACUCGAGUACGGUAGAGGGUAGUGGAAUUUCCUGUGUAGCGGUGAAAUGCGUAGAUAUAGGAAGGAACACCAGUGGCGAAGGCGACUACCUGGACUGAUACUGACACUGAGGUGCGAAAGCGUGGGGAGCAAACAGGAUUAGAAACCCCGGUAGUCC
rnacentral:rRNA from 1 species